CAGUACGGUACAAAGGCUAACUACGCCACGUUCUGUGAAAGUGCCUUCGUAACCAACAUCCUAUUGG
rnacentral:sRNA from 1 species